ensembl:lncRNA
GGAUUUUUAUGAAGAUUAAAUCUAAUCCCCACAUAGAAUAUAUCAAAAUGCUUACAGCGUGCCCUACAUAUGGAAAGAAGGCAAUAAAUGUUAGCUAUUUUCAUACACUUGUUACAGGGGAAGAAUUUUCUCUAACAGCAGAGGAGAAGGGGAAAGAGGCUGCUGCUGUUUGUUUUUCUACUCUUUAAGCCUGGCCCGGGGAGGUGAAAAUGUAACCAAACAGCUUCAGGUGGGAUUUUGGAAAUGAACAUAAUCCUUAUAUACGUGGUCUGAAGACUGAAUAACUUCUGUGGUAGCCAGCCUCCGAGAUGGCCCCACCAAUCACUGCCUCCUGGAAUUCGUGUCCUGUGGAGUCCCCGCACAGGUUAUACCAGGGCUGGUCUGUGUGGACAACUGCAUGUGGCAGAAGUGAUGGUGUUUUGCUUUGGUGGCCAAGCUGACUAAAAUGUAUGUCCUUUACAAGAAGAGGGUAUGAAAAAGACUGUGGCUUCUGUCUUGGGCACCAUCUCUCAGGGCUCAAACUGGGGGAGGUCUCACGAGUGCUUCCUUCAGUUUUCGCCUAGUCACCUCACUUGCCUUACCCUAGUCCCUGCUCCUCUACCCUCUUCAGAUCUCUGGGGGAAGUUGGUUGCCAUGUUGUGAACAGUCCAGUGACUGAGAACUGAGGCCUCUGGUCAAUAGCCAAUGAGGAACUGAGGCCUGGCAAAAACUAUCUGAUGAGCUUGGAAGUGGCUUCUUUAGCUCCAUUUGGCCCUAGAGAUGACUGCAGCUCCUGCUGACAGUUUACUGCAGUCUCAUGAGACUCCCGCCCUGAACCACAACCACUCAGCUCAGCCCCUUUCAGAUUCCUGACAGCAAUUCAGCGCUCACUAGCCCUUCUCAGCUCACCAUCAGAACCACCUUUGUACAUGAAAGACUUUGACUCCUCACUCCUUUCUUUCUUUCGCCAGGAUCCCCACUCGUUAAGAGGCAGUCAUAGUUUUAAAUAAUAAUAGCUCUUCUCCCUUAUCCUGAUUGGAUAGGAAUUUGUAAGCACCUCAAAUGAAGAGAGCCAAAGCACCCGUUACCCAAGGUUUACAUUUGUUCUCUGAAUGAAGCUCAUCAAUAUCCCACACGAUCCCUUCAGUCACAGUCAGCAGGUGUGAUGGUUAAUUUUAUGCAUCAACUUGACUGGGUCACAGGGUGCCCAGAUAGCUGGUAGAACAUUAUUUCUGGUGUGUCUGUGAGGGUGUUUCUGGAAGCGAUUAGCAUUUGAAUUGGUAGGCUGAAUAAAGAAGAUACCCUCAUCAAUGUGAGUGGGCAUCAUGCAAACUGUUGAGGGCCUGAAUAGAACAAAAAGGUGGAGAAAGGGUGAAUUUGCUCUCUGUGCUUGAGCUGGGACAUCCAUCUUCUGUCCUCGGAUACCAGCUCUCCUGGUUCUGAGGCCUUUGGGCUUCAAGUGGAACUUAUACCAUUAGCUUCCCUGGUUCUCAGGCCUUCGGGUUUGGACUGGAACUACACUACUUGCUUUUCUGGGCCCCCAGCUUGCAAAUGGCAGAUCAUGGGACUUCUCAGCCUCCACAAUUACGUGAGCAAUUCCCUCAUAACAAAUCUCUUCCUAUAUAUCUAUAUAUCCUAUUGGUUCUAUUUCUGUGGAGAACCCUGACUAAUACAGCAGGUUUGGGAGGUGGUCAAUGGUUCACUGUGCACUAGGGUGCACUCUGGUCUUUGAUGAAGUGUGGCACCAGCACUGCUGUAGCAGCAGCAGGGGAGAGCCUAGGACUGACAGACAGGGCCCAGGUUUCAAUCCAGAUCCUACUUUCAACUAGCUCUGUGACUUUGAUCAAGUCCUGCCAACUUUCUGCCUCAUUUCUCAUCUAUAAUAGGGAAAUGAGAUUAUUUUAAGGAUGGACUGAGAUAAUAAAUGGGAUAAUGCAUUGAAAAGUACAAAGGAUAAUACAAACGCUGUGUAGUAUUAAUCAGGGUUCUUGUUAUUAAGAGUGUGUUAAAUAAUCCAUCACAUGAUAGAUAGUUUUAAGUGGAAAUAAGGGAUCUUCCCCCCAACACAGUAGAUUUGCUUUACAAAGUGGAAAUGAUUCAUCAUCGUCAGGUUAGGUCAUGAUGGAUGUGCCCAUUCAUUCAAUCAUUCAUUCAUUCAACAUGUAUUUACUGUGUGCCUGCUUUGUUCUAUGCACUGUUUUAGGCUCUUAGGACAUCUAAGUGAACACAACUGUCAAAGACUCCUGUCCACAUGGAGCCUUUCCUGAUGAGUGAGGGGCAGGGCUGCAGCCCUCUUGCCCCAGAUGGCUGUGCUUGGAGCCAAAGGAGAAUGCCUGAAAGCUGCUGUAAGCAAUCUGAGGUCCAUCCUAUGAAUCCGAACAGGCACUGUCCUAGAAGAGGGAGCUGGGUGCAAAACCAAAGGAUUCAAGAACAAAGGAGAGAUGAUGAGUGGGUACCUAAAGAAGGCAAGAUCUGGAGGAGUUCCUGAGGCAAAGAAAAAAGUGACAGCAGUAGCAUUUUGGACAAUUCAAAUGCCCUUAAGGAGAAGGGAUCCUGGUAAAAGAAGGGAGGGGACAAGACUAAUGCAGAUAUACCAAUGGCCCACAGCUUCCUUCCUCUUGACAGAGCGAAGGCAGAGCAAAUUUACAUGACUGAAUGUUACUACAGCCUCUGGCAUGACCAGCAGAUGACAGGAAGCUGCUGCUUUCAAGAAUUUCAACUCUGAAAGAGAGAGAAAGAGGAGGAUUUGAGACCCUGGGAGUCAGGAGUGCUCCCGUGGCUGUGCAAGUGAGUAGCUGUCAUCUGGGGCAUGUCAUGCAUCUUGCAGUGAAGACACGCUUUUAGAUCCUUCUGGUGCUGGCAGUUUAUGGCUUGAAGUCUAGUUGAAGGGGAUGGUGAGAUGGAGAAGAGCAUAAGGCAAAACAAUGGGAGGGGGCAGAAAAUGGAGAAACAGCAAGAAAAAGACUGAGUGGGGGUGCUGGGAGAGAGAAAUGCAAUUGAAAGGACCAUGGAAAAACUAACAUGAAUUGAGAACCUACUAUGUGCCAGUGAUUAUGAGUAAUUAUAAGAUCAUGAUCGUGCAAUUAUAAGAAGCACUUUAUUUAUUUAUGCUAUUUAAUUUAAUUUCCAUACUUACUUCAUGAGACAGUGAUUACUUUCAGUAUUUUACAGAUGAGGAAAAUGAGCCCAGAGUUUAACUAUUCACCAAAAGUUACACUCCCAGUGAGUGGCUGAGCUGGAGAUCCAAAGACUGAACAGCUGUAAAUCCUAUGCUCUCUGAGCCGUGCACUGUAGUCUAAGUGGCAGGACGUCUGAGAGGGUGGUUGGUGACGAUCAUUCCAGGAGAGCAUUCGGGCUGUGACUCUUGAGAAUUAUCCUUUGACAAGUUUGUUGAUUUUCUUCACUGCUCUUUAUCUUCUCACGUCUUUAAAUCUUAAGAGGCUCCAGUCUGAAUAGGGUGACUAAAGCAGCCCAGUAAGGGAGAAAUUAUCUGCUGGGAUGCUGCCUCAUUGCCCAGAGCAGUAGAACCCUGGCUGUUGGCUAGCUUAGGCUCUGGAUUGGAAGUUGCCCUUUGGAUCUCUCCAAGGGAGCAGUGGCAGACGGUAGGUGUCUGCUGGGCUUGGACUUAAAGGCUGGGAAAGACAGAAGAAAGAGGGGGAGAAGGCCAGGGACAGACAGAGAUGUUGAAAGAAUGGGCAGGUUUUUCUUGCCCAGUAAAGACUACAUCAUCAGAACAGUGAUUCUGUCUCUGCGUCUGGCUUAAAAUCAAAACUUGAUUCAGACCUCUGCUUUAAUGAGUAAGAAAAUAUUGAUUAAAGGGGCCGGAUUCCCUCAGCUCUCCAGCUCUGGCAUCUUGCUGCUUUGAUAGCACAAAUCGAUACUCUCUUGUGAAGGUUUAAGCUCUGAUUUGUGAAAUAAAAACUGCACCAGGGUCCAAUAACAGCUGCCCUCAGGGCAGAGCCGAAGCAUCCAGCAGAGAAACGGCAGCGGGCACUGGCCCAAGGCAACACAUUUACUUCUGGGCGGCUUUUACCCAGGGCAUGGAGCCCUGGGUCAAGGUUUGGGCAGCUUCAUAAGUGACCUCCUGCUGUGGACUGACCAGGAAGGGACCAGAUUCCAUGCGUGUGCUGUCUUUAUUAUAUUAUACAUACAUGGAUGGAUAUAUCUCUCUCUAAUAUAUAGAGUGCCAUCAACUUGAAUUGUAGGAAUGACCCUGACUGUAUUUGCUGUUGGGUCAUUGGCAUCACACAGCCUGGUUCUGCCUUUCCAUUUUGUGGGGAGGUCCUCAAGCUGAAGGAAUCAGUUCUCAUGCUAGAUAUGUGUGCACCUGCUUUGUUCUUGCUCACUGAAAUUGAAGGUUUAAUAUUUUAUUGGGCUGGAGAAUGAGCACACAUUUUGGAGUCAGACAGACCUGUUUUCAAAGCCUAUCUCCCACUCUCUAGUUGUGUGACCUUGAGGAGAUCAUUUGACCUUGCUAAGCUUAUUUUCUUGUCUGUGAAAUGUAGAUAGCAGUGGAUUCUACCUCCUAGGAUUAUUGCAGGGAUUCAGUGGGAUCCUGCAAGGAGGAUGUUUGGUGGACUGGCUAGUAUAUAGUAAGCACUCCAUAAAUGCAGCACUAUAAUAUCCCAGUAAUUCUCCUGGGUUACUAAGGAAUAUACAUAUAUAUAUACUCAUUCACAGCACUAGUUGGGGUCUGAAUAAAUGGGGAAGGAAGUGUUACUCUGUCCAAGUGACUAUUUUAUUUCUCAUCUACCUUGUAUCUCUGGCUCUAGAGCCGAGUCAGCCAUUAACCAGCUUCAGGAAGGCCUUCCUGUGUGUCCUUUCCCUGUCACCAAAAGCAUAAAACAGAGUCACAGGACGUUAGCACUGCAUCAGCUGUGUGGCCUUGGCGACAGAUGCUUCAGCUCUCUGGGCCUUUGUUCCCUUACGAACGGAGGGUAAGGUCAUAGGGAAUUUGACAUCCCUAAGGCCUCUCUGGUGCGAAUAUUUCUGUAUGGUUCUAUGUUCUAUGUUCUGUUUCCUGGCACUGUGCCUUGUCCUCUUAAUGUUGGGCUAUGACUUGAAGACCUGCUCUGCCUUUUCCACAGUCUUCUCUUUCUCCAGGGCGGGGACUUCCCUGGCUGCUGUGGCCUGCUUCUUCCCACCUUUUCGGGUUCCAUUCCUUGACCAUUUCUGUAUGAGUGAUUCUUUUUCUGUCUAACGUCCUCUGGUCCCCACUCCCUGCUUUUCCUUCUCUAAACCCUGCUGUGAUGUUUACCGAUUUGGGGAAUUAAAUGACCCUAAACCGUGUACCUGUUGCGCUAAUAAAUGAGAUAAGCAGGGUAUUUUGCAGAUGUUCAAACCAGAUCCUCCCCUCUAAGCUGCUUGUUAAAUUCUGCAUGACUCCUUUCCGUGAAGACCAGAGGAAGAAACUCCUCUGAUGACAGUAUUGGGAAUAGGUGUUUAUAAGUAAGCGAGCAAGCAAAUGCAGGGCCACUAUGCGUUACUUAACUGAUGGUGUCUCUCCCUUUGCUUUGGUAGCUGGGAAAGUGAGAGCCAGACUUUGUGGCUCACUUCUAGCGAGAUUAUGUGGCAGGCGUUUUAUGUCUUAAUCUCCACCCUGAGUUCAUUUUGCUUUUCCUCAAUUUAUUUUUCCUUCAUUCAAAUCUGUCACUUCUUUGUUUAAAAAAAUGCUGGCAUACUUUUGAAAGUUAUGCCAUGCCCUUUUCAAAUAGGGUGAGAUCAAAGUAAGCAGAUGAGUGCAUUCUGUGCAUUUUGCAGAGCUGAGUGCUUGACCCAAUCUAAGCGAAAAUCAGUGAGAGAAGGCUCCCUGGAGAAAGGCGCUUACAGGAUACCCAUACAUCAACGAUGUGCCGUUCAGUCUGUCAUGAAAUCCCCCAAAUGGCAUGUGACUUGACAUCAGAAGGUGUAGGGUUGAAUUACAGAAAACCUCAUAAGACAUUUUUAUUAGAGUGGGAAACAUUUGCCAUAUAACAUAACCUCAUCAUCCUGUUACAUUUGUGUCCACACUCAAGGAGGGGGGCAGAGAUUAUAUAUUCUGUCUAUUACAGGUAGUUGAUGUAAUUUAACAUCAAAUAUUGUCUCAACUGGAAGUAAGAACUUCCUGUAUGCCUCUGGCCCUUCUUUUGACCACCGUUACCAUAUUAUGAUCCCAGGGCACUACUGUGAGUGAGAAGCACAAAAUCUCUACCCAUCAAUUCCGUGGCUUUAAACACCAUGACUUUCCUAACUCUGGCUUUGACCAUAAGCUCUGGCCAAACCGUGGAGAUUUGUCUUACUCUCCAGAAUCAACCCAUUGCAUCUACUGACCUUGGAUACCCACCUGAUCCCCAUCACCACAGAUACCACCUCCACCUGCUAUCCCUGUCCCUGCCCACAACCCAUUUUCUUCUGCCGCUCAUUCUCUCAUGUAAAGGCAAUGGAUGCAUUUUAGUAAUGGAUCUUUGUGGAGAGUGAAAAAAAUUAGUAUUCAAAGAGAUUAUGUUAUGGUGUGGAUUAAUAGGCAAGGUGGCUAACACUUUGUCAGGGCCUUAGCUGUGUCCUUAAAAGAGCUCCAGGUGGGUUUCCAGCUACAGAAACCACACACAACCUUCCUUUCUUAGUAACAGCAGCAGGAUGCUCUCUAGUGACAGAACUUUCUUUGCUUCCAGUGACUGCCUUUAGAGAGUAGGAGUGUCCUCUCCCAGUGAGACCUGUGAGGACACCUGGGUAGAGGCUGCACAGUCAUUGCAAAUCUCUCCUGAUGCUAAGCCCAGGGAAUCCAGCAUUACCCAGAGACAGAACGAUUGUGUUCACCACUUAUUAGGGAAGAUUCAAGCCAUCAGACUAGAAACAUUUUUUUGCAAGCAAAAUCCUGCUUUCAAAAGAAUGCAAAUCUUCCAAUAGUGGGACUUUUCAUCCUGGCCCUCCUUUGUCUCAAGUUCACAGAACAUCCUAGACAUCACCAUAGCCUCCCUAGAUGCCUAUAAACUGCUGGCAUCACUGGGUGUUCAUUUUCCAGAUCUGGAAGUAUGUCAGGAAUAUAGCCCACAACAGUUCCAGAAUAUCUGAGGACAGAGAGCUGGUUUUAGGCCAUGCAUUCCAAUAGACCUAUCACAACACCGUAGCGUCCUGCCUGCUUCACAAAACUCAUCGUCCUUAAACGUGUCAUGUUGAGAACUUGUCACAUGGCUCCACUUAAAUGCAAGGAGGGCUGAGAAAUGCGGUCCACCCACCAGUGGACCCAGAAAGAGGAACUAGGCUUGGUGAGCAUCUAGAUGUUUCUGUCACAGUUUGGAAAGCACAAUGGAGUCCUCCAUUGAAUAGCCGAAAUAAACCUUCUAAACAUCUGCUAACAGAAGAUCCAAACAAAAGUCACAAAAUUAAUUAGUAAAAGGCAAAGGAGCGUUAGCUAAGGGAAAUAAACUACAGCCUAGAACUAUAGUCACUCCCAUUUCUCAGUGAGAGAAAACCAAAACAAAACAAAUAAAACACAGAUCUUUAGUGAAUCUGAUUCCUGCCUUUGGUUGAUAUUCAAUGCAAUGAGAAAUGACGACGUGAGCUUGAGCUGCCCCCAGAGGCUGAGAAGAAAGCAUCCAGAGAUCAGUCACCCAAAAGUUCUGAAGAAACAGGCAUGCUCCGCUUUGUCCAGUUGGCAGUAAAGAACAGGAUGAUAUAUGACCUUGCUAAAAGGGUCGUGAUGAAACUUGGGACUUUCCUAGAAGACGGAGUAAUUCUUUCUCUUAAAAUUCCCAUAUAAUAAUAAUAAUAACCACAAAAGUGAAUAUUUAUUGAAUGUUUACUCUGGGCCAGAGAGUUCCCCUGCAUUCUCUCGUUUUCCUUCACAAUAACUCAAUGAGGAAGGCACUAUUAGCCUUACUUUACAGAUGAAGAACCAAGACUUAGAGAAGUUAAGGAACUCUCCAAAGUCACGUAACUGCUAAAUGGUACAGCUGGUAGACACACCCAGGCGUGUCUAACUCUAGAGCCCCUGUGCUAAGACCAAUGCUUAGAGGUCUUGGAUCUUAUAAGAAUUCUUAAGAGGUCAUGCAAUGAUAAUAUGUCUGAGAUUUGCUUUAUGUUAAUCCAGGUGGUGGGAAAAGUGGGUAAAUUGAUAAAAUAAGCAUAGUGACGUAUUGAGUCGUAGUGAAGCUGGGAGAUGGUACAUGGAGGUCCUGAUGUUAUUCUCUUUACUUUUGUAUAUGUUUGAAAUUUUACAUAAUAUAAGAAAGAUUGGCAAAUGGAUACAUAGUUAUAUAUUUUAAGUUAAAGCAAACUUUUGAGGUUUGACAAAGAGGAAUUCCAGAUAUCCAGUAGGACCUUUCUGACAACCCACGCCUUUAGUCUACUGCUCUAGUAGACUUUUGCUCUCGGCGGAGAACAGUAAGCCAAGCGGUGGUUGCCAGUCACGUUUCUUGUAUUUUCUUUUAAAGGUGGUGACCAUAUUUUCCUUUUUUCAAAUAUUGUGGCACUUUUUCUGGUUUCCGUUUUAUGUAGACAGUCACACAGCCUCUGCCAUUUCUAUUUGAAAACCUCAGCAGGUUUUUCUGUUCCUCCCAGUUUGGCAAAGGAGCUUCUAAGGAGCACACAAAACACCCUGAAAGAUAAGGAGCAGAGAGCGGAGGGGGCAUCGAAUGAGAUGGAUUUAAAGAACCAGAACAGACAGGAGCUGUUAUUUAGAGACUGGAAACCAGUGUGCAAGUGAGAACAGAAAAAGGAGGAAGCAGAGACAUCAGUUAAGCUAUUUAAGGGAAAAAGAGCCCAAAGUACAUCAUAAAAGAUAAAAAUGCGGGCACUUAUGUCUUGAUUAAGGAGCUUAUUAAUUAGAGUUGAGUUGUUAACUGGUUUAUAGUUCCCUGGGACUAGGAUGAGCCUCCAAGAGGAGUCCAGGCAGAAAACAGCCAGUCUGGAUAAUUACCAUGGAUUGCCUUGGGGUUUGUCCCAGCCUCACAGACAACUUAAUAUCUAGCAGCCAGGUGAACAGGCCUGGGCUGCUCUACCCACCAGGCAGGACAAACUCCCAGGCGCCUGGCCAGGUGCCAAAGCGUGCUCCUCCCUUCUCUUAUUGGGAGUAAGAGACAAGCUGAGUGGUCUUAGUUGGAAAUGGCCCAAGACCUCCUAAAGCUCCUUUCCUGAUGUGUGGAAUGUUCUCUCCCAGAUCUAGGUGCUCGUAUGGACUCUGACUCUAAACCACAGUGAUGCACCCAGGUACCAUGCCUCUCUGGUCUACAACAGCACAGAGUGAACGGUGUUUGUGGCAGUCAGAGUGCAGCCUCCGGCUCUGAUCCACCCCUUUUUGUUUCUCACUCUUGGCUCUGUCUCUCAUUUGUGACUCCACACUUACCCAUUGUGCUUGAUGUUUUAUUUUUGUUGGAUCUUGACUCUUCAGUUCUCCCUUAAGGAGGAAAAUGAACAGGCCAGGGGUGGCCAGGAAGGUAAUGUCAAUGUGGGAAGCUGCUGGAUAAAAAAUGAUAAAGAAAGGUGAGGGCAUGCUUUGAAGUGAGAGUGCAUAUCCUACCUAAAGACAAUCAAAUCAGUUUCUAAAACAAACCCUGGCCUGGACAAAUAGAACAUAGUUGUGGAUCCACAGUUUGAAACUGCUGACAUUGCCUCUUAGGGGAUCCACCCUGUGCUUUUGUCAUCUGGGCCUUCCUAGUUCUAGGGCGAAGGUGUGGGUGGGGUGUCUGUGGUUCAGAUAUAGGUAGGGAGUGUCCUAUGAUGAGGGUGCACAGAUUCUCUUCUCUAAUUCCUGAUCCUGAUAAAUCCCAGGUGCCCAUGUGAGACAGUGUGUUUCUUGCCACACUGGCCUAAUCUUCUCAGUUGCAGAGAAGUUGAGCCAUGUCUUUAGUGCGCAAUCCCUACGCCCUGCCUAUACGCUUAUUUACACUCCCUUGGUUCUAAGUCUCUCCUUUUUCCCUGUGUAAAGAUUGCUGCCUUCGUAUCUUCUGGACUCUAGUAAGUAGUUAAAUACACUAAUCUACACUAAAGUGCUAAUGGCCUAAAGUGGUGCUUAUUUCAGGAGUUGUUCUUGUGGCUCAUGGAAAGGUUAAGGCUUAAUCCAAAGGUGUACUCUCUCGUCAUAGAUUUCCACAUAUUCUAGCACUAGUGUAGUGCAUAUAUUUUCAGAGGUUUGUAGAAGUUAUGUGGUAGAUUCUGUUGAUUGCUUUACUCAACCUGCAGUUUUACUUAACUCUCCUUUAGAAGGCGGUUAGAAAGCUAAAAAGUAUAUUUCCAGUAGCUCUUUACAACUAAGGCUCUGGAUAUGAAAUAGAUUCUUCCACUUAGAUGCACUUGUACUAAGAAACAGAUGGUGGGAGGAACGUGGAGGCCAUUUUCUUGCCUCUGUUGUCUGUUUCUGCUGGCAAGCAAGGACGGGGAAAUGUGAGUCGUUCCUGCAUCAGUAUUCUAGCUUCCUGAGUAUUGAGAGGCAUUUAUAGCAGCUAUGUCUUCUUGAUUCUUGGGCUCCGGCCAUAUGGAUAUGAUUUUGUAUUUAUAUCUCUAGUGGCAGUGGCAGCCUCAGAGGUGGGUCAAUUUUAUAUUGUUCUGGGAUCAUCCCUGGAGGCCCUUCUUAGAAUCUGCUCCGUUAGCUCUUCCAUCAAUUCUGUAAACUUUGAAUUCCCUGCAUUAAAUCCCUUUCUGCUCAAAAUACCUAGAGUACUUUAUACUUUCUGUGUUGAACCUUGACUGUUAGAUCCUUCAAGUGGUUUAUAUUAAACUUACUCCUGAACCUAGUCCUGUUCCUAGGAUCUUAAUCCCAAGUUUGACAUGAAAAUGAAGAUGAAAAAUAAGGGCCCCUUUCAGAGAGAAGAGCAUGCAAAUGUGGGAACAAAGCGCCACCACUGUGGCAUUGACUUAUGUCUGGCUCAGUACUUAGUUUUUACUAGACCAGGUGUUCCCUGCUAUGAGUGUCACUAAUGUCUUGUAGAGGGUUUAGGUCACUGAAGAUUGUACUGGCAGCCAG